rnacentral:misc_RNA from 1 species
GAUGAAGAACGCAGUGAAAUGCGAUACUUGGUGUGAAUUGCAGAAUCCCGUGAACCAUCGAGUCUUUGAACGCAAGUUGCGCCCGAAGCCAUUAGGCCGAGGGCACGCCUGCCUGGGUGUCGCACAUCGUUGCCCCAAUGCCUCAGCCCUGUUGCAAGGCAUGGCAAAGGGGCGAAUGUUGGCUUCCCGUGAGCGUUGUUGCCUCGCGGUUGGUUGAAAAUCGAGUCCUUGGUAGGGUGUGCCAUGGUAGAUGGUGGUCGAGUUAGAACGAUACCGAUCAUGUGCAUGCUCCCCAAAAUAUGGCCUCUAUGACCCACACGCGUCUUUUGACGCUCAUGACGAGACCUCAGGUCAGGCGGGGCUACCCGCUGAAUUUAAGCAUAUCAAUAAGCGGAAGA